GGCGGAUUAGUCAAGCGGUCAAGAUACUCGGCUUUCAAUCGAGUGGCGCACGGUUCAACUCCGGCAUCCGCUACCA
rnacentral:tRNA from 1 species